CCAAUAGCGUAUAUUAAAGUUGUUGCAGUUAAAAAGCUCGUAGUUGAAUUUCGAGAUCAAUAUGUUGGUCGUGCCUCGGUACGUACUUGCAUCAUUGAUUUCUCCCUUCUGAUGAACCAUGAUGCCAUUAAUUUGGUGUUAUGGGGAAUCAGGACUGUUACUUUGAAAAAAUUAGAGUGUUUAAAGCAGGCUCACGCUUGAAUACAUUAGCAUGGAAUAAUGAAAUAGGACGUUUGAUUCUAUUUUGUUGGUUUCUAGGAUCGACGUAAUGAUUAAUAGGGAUAGUUGGGGGCAUUAGUAUUCAAUUGGCAGAGGUGAAAUUCUUGGAUUUAUUGAAGACUAACUACUGCGAAAGCAUUUGCCAAGGAUGUUUUCAUUAAUCAAGAACGAAAGUUAGGGGAUCGAAGACGAUCAGAUACCGUCGUAGUCUUAACCAUAAACUAUGCCGACUAGGGAUCGGAUGAUGUUAAUUUUUUAAUGACUCAUUCGGCGCCUUACG
rnacentral:rRNA from 1 species